rnacentral:rRNA from 1 species
UUGGAGGGCAAGUCUGGUGCCAGCAGCCGCGGUAAUUCCAGCUCCAAUAGCGUAUAUUAAAGUUGUUGCAGUUAAAAAGCUCGUAGUUGAAUUUCGGGACCAAUAUGUCGGUCGUGCCUCGGUACGCACUGGCUUAUUGGUUUCUCCUUUCUGAAGAACCAUGAUGUCAUUCAUUUGGUGUCGUGGGGAAUCAGGACUGUUACUUUGAAAAAAUUAGAGUGUUUAAAGCAGGCUCACGCUUGAAUACAUUAGCAUGGAAUAAUGAAAUAGGACGUUUGAUUCUAUUUUGUUGGUUUCUAGGAUCGACGUAAUGAUUAAUAGGGAUAGUUGGGGGCAUUAGUAUUCAAUUGUCAGAGGUGAAAUUCUUGGAUUUAUUGAAGACUAACUACUGCGAAAGCAUUUGCCAAGGAUGUUUUCAUUAAUCAAGAACGAAAGUUAGGGGAUCGAAGACGAUCAGAUACCGUCGUAGUCUUAACCAUAAACUAUGCCGACUAGGGAUCGGAUGAUGUUAAUUUUUUAAUGACUCAUUCGGCACCUUACGGGAAAC